UCUGGCACAUAGUAACCACUGGAUAAAUAUUUGUUGAAUGAAUAAAUGAGUGAAUGAAUGAAUUUCUUAGGCCUUAAAGUGGCCAAAAAGACUCAUUUGGUGGCCUGCCCGGAACCUUUUGGGCAUGUACUCCCGAUAAAUUCUAGAAGAGCAGUUGUCCAGACUGACUGGCCUAGGCCCAUGCCCAGGACAACCUAGACCCUCUCCUUGGCCAACCCCUUUGCGGUUGGUGGCUGCCCCCAAGGCUGGGACUGCUUCAGAGUUUGCUCCUCUUUGUAGCCUGGACACAGGACACCAUGAGCUGAGCAUCCUGGGUCCACCCGCAGCUCCCUCCUCGUACACUGCUGUGGGAGCCCCACCAUACCUUCCCUGGCCCGGCACUGGACAUCUCGCAUGCUUCUCACUGUCUUGGAGCUGCCUCCCACCAGAAAGAGCCCGGAACAUCCUCCCAAACCAUGAGAAAGUCAUGGCGUGGGCCCAGCGCAUCCUUGGUCUCCUCACACUUAGAAGGGGCUUGGACCCUGGGGUCCCCAGAAAGGAGAGAAGGGAGGGCCUGAGGCACACUGCGACCCCAGAUGGACCCAAGGUGAGCAGGCACGUUGAACCGUGGCCUGGGGGAGAGAUCCAGGGAGCAGAGAGACAGACGGAAGGCCUCAGAGGGGACAGGCAGAGAAGGGCAGAAGGAGAGAGACAGAAGACGGAGGGGGACAGAAAGGAUCAGAGAGACACAGUGCGGGGACAGCCCAGAGCGACAGGCGGAGAGAGCCAGAGGACAAGAGCGAAGACGACGCAGCGAGGGGGCGGCGGAGGGGCGCGGGGCCGGCGGCUGAAUCGCUCUCUGUUCUGGCGCCGCACUGAGGGGCUUUCUUCGCGGCCGUGGGAAAGCGGUGGGCGAGCGCGCGCCGCCGCCAUGUGGACGGAGAUGCAGAGAACACCCUCUCCUGCCCACAGUUGCUGACAGCUGUUGUGAAUGGAAGAGCCGGACAGCCCAGGUCAAGAUCUCACGGAUCAUGGGU